rnacentral:rRNA from 1 species
CAGUCGCCACGGUAAUACGAAGGGGGCUAGCGUUGCUCGGAAUGACUGGGCGUAAAGGGCGCGUAGGCGGUUUGAUCAGUCAGGCGUGAAAUUCCUGGGCUUAACCUGGGGGCUGCGCUUGAUACGGUCGAGCUAGAGGAUGGAAGAGGCUCGUGGAAUUCCCAGUGUAGAGGUGAAAUUCGUAGAUAUUCGGAAGAACACCAGUGGCGAAGGCGGCUUACUGGCUCAUACUGGACGCUGAGGUGCGAAAGCGUGGGGAGCAAACAGGAUUAGAUACCCCAGUAGUCCCUGUCUCUUAUAA